rnacentral:tRNA from 10 species
UUCACAAUCCACUGCCUUGAUCCACUUGGCUACAUCCGCC